AUUGCUUCUCGGCCUUUUGGCUAAGAUCAAGUGUAGUAUCUGUUCUUAUCAGUUUAAUAUCUAUAUUUUUUAGGGCAGCAAAGAUGAUUAAGGGGUCGGAGCAUCUCCCUUGCGAGGAAAGGCUGAGAGAGCUGGGACUCUUUAGCCUGGAGAAG
rnacentral:snRNA from 1 species